rnacentral:snoRNA from 1 species
AAACACAUGCUACACAGGAUCUUUUCUGUAGUAUUUUUUUUUAUGUGUUGACACAAAGUCAAUCACACCGAAGGAUUAAGGAUUAGAAACAGUUUCUUUUCCUGAGCGUAAAGACACGUUCUUCGAUUCCUUUUUAUGGAAUUGUUUGCUUGAUGGCCGCAAGGAAGUGUCUUUUGCCCUCUGAUGGGGCGAGGGAAGUUUUAUAGA